rnacentral:rRNA from 1 species
GGUGAACGCUGGCGGCGUGCUUAAGACAUGCAAGUCGAACGGCAGUCUUCGGACUGUAGUGGCGCACGGGUGAGUAACGCGUAACUGACCUACCCCAAAGUCGCGGAUAACGAUUCGAAAGAAUCGCUAAUACGUGAUGUGCUGUCAGAUUGUGUUCUGCCAGUAAAGAUUGAUUGCUUUGGGAUGGGGUUGCGUUCCAUCAGCUAGUUGGUGGGGUAAAGGCCCACCAAGGCGACGACGGAUAGCCGGCCUGGGAGGGUGGCCGGCCACAGGGGCACUGAGACACGGGUCCCACGCCUACGGGGGGCAGCAGUUAGGAAUCUUCCACAAUGGGCGAAAGCCUGAUGGAGCGAUGCCGCGUGAGGGAUGAAGGUCUUCGGAUCGUAAACCUCUGAAUCAGGGACGAAAGACACUUCGGUGGGAUGACGGUACCUGAGUAAUAGCACCGGCUAACUCCGCGCCAGCCGCCGCGGUAAAAC